rnacentral:rRNA from 1 species
GACGAACGCUGGCGGCGUGCUUAACACAUGCGAGUCGAACGGAAAGGCCCUGCUCUUGUGGGGUGCUCGAGUGGCGAACGGGUGAGUAACACGUGAGUAACCUGUCCCUGACUUUGGGAUAUCUUCAGGAAACUGGGGCUCAUACCGGAUAGGAGCUCCUGCUGCACGGUGGGGGUUGGAGAGUUUCGGCGGUUGGGGAUGGACUCGCGGCUUAUCAGCUUGUUGGUGGGGUAGUGGCUUACCAAGGCUUUGACGGGUAGCCGGCCUGAGAGGGUGACCGGCCACAUUGGGACUGAGAUACGGCCCAGACUCCUACGGGAGGCAGCAGUGGGGAAUAUUGCACAAUGGGCGGAAGCCUGAUGCAGCAACGCCGCGUGCGGGAUGACGGCCUUCGGGUUGUAAACCGCUUUCGCCUGUGACGAAGCGUGAGUGACGGUAAUGGGUAAAAAAGCACCGGCUAACUACGUG